ACCUUCUGGUUCGAAGUAUUCUGUAACUUGGAUCAAACGCUAAAACCCUAGACAAGAACCAACGGAAAUUCCCUUCCCUUUUCAAUUUUAACCCAAAAUUGAGGUAAAUAGAAAAAAUCAGAGCACAAAUGGAAGGUGGGGUUGGUCGUAAUGGCAAAGAGAGAGAAGAGGAACAAGACGGCAUGUCCGUACAUUCUCCAUGCAAAGCUCCUCCUUCCUCUGCUUCUUCUCUUCCCAAGGAGCAAUCACAGGUGGAAUUGGAGCUAAGACUCUUAGAAGCUCUGGAGAUCUACCCUCCUGUCAAACUAAGAGGCAUGCAUCGCCACUUUGUACUUUAUGGUCUCAUGGAAUUUCUUCGGAGAAGCUUUGAUCGGCAAUUUUCUCCAGAUGAGGUUUUGCAGUUGCUGGACCGUUUCUACAACAUUGAAAUGCUGGUAUUUAAUUUCAAUGAUAUUUUUCAUUUUCAUUUCACGUUACAAAAAAAUAACGUGGUGGAUUUCAAAACAGAAAAUAAUUCAUUUGAAUGCUAUGCUACUACAAAUUCAUUUCAAGUAAAAUGUAGGAGAUUUUGAUGCGUAUAUUAAUUGAUAAAUGUCUCAGCUCUGCUGGAUGCUAAAUUUGACUCGCUUCAUUGCUGACCCUGUAUUGUUUUGUAUAGAAGGAAUAGUGCACGAAAUCUUAAAAGUAUGUCUAUGAAAUUAGAUGAUGACAUAUAAUUUGCGAUCGGUGAAAGAUCACAGUAUUCACGGUCAAGUAUUUUCGUCUAUGCCUUGCGCAUAUUGUGUUUUCUUGCUUUCUCUUUUACACAUCAUCCCUAAUUUCUUUAUGAGAACAUAUAAUGUGUGCAAUGAUUUUGGCUUGUUUCUGUCAAGUUUCAGAAACCAGAUGAUGAAGAGGCAGAAAUUCUGAAUCACGAGGAAGAUUUUUCCUUGCCUCAAAGUUAUUUUGUCAAGGAAGAGUGAAAUUGAUAAUUUUGAACUACAUCUUUUUUGGACUCCUUGCACAACAAUCCUAGCUGGGAGCAUAUUUCUUGAUCACAUUACAAAUCCAAAACUGGGGCAAACUUGAGAGGAUUCGGUGUUGCUUAAUGCUUAGAAUAUCUGGAAGGCCAUUAUAUUCUGUUUUUUGAAGACGGCAGAGACAAGGUUGGGUGAGGGUCAAACAAUAAUGAGGACAAGUGCGUUAGGAAUAUAGGAUGCAUUUUCUUGUCUAUUGAUUUCUAGUUUCAAUCAAUUGAUAUUCUGCUCAUCCCAAAAGAGGAGAUUCAUGUGGAGUAAGAAGCUGAAGAAUUUGGUAAUUUCCUGGUGUGCGCAAGCGCCGUCCAUACAUUAAAAUACCUUUUUACAUUGUUCUGCCUUGUAUUUUGUAUUUAAAAGGGUUUUUUAAUAUUAAUAUUAAUAUUAUGUUUUUAUCA